UACGAGAGGCCCAAACGUUAUUCGGAAUCACUGGGCUUACAGAGUUCGUAGGCGGUCUGGAAAGUUGGGUGUGAAAUCCCUCGGCCUAACCGAGGAACUGCGCUUGAAACUACCAGACUCGAGGGAGAUAGAGGAAAGCGGAACUGAUGGUGGAGCGGUGAAAUGCGUUGAUAUCAUCAGGAACACCGGUGGCGAAGGCGGCUUUCUGGGUCUUACCUGACGCUGAGGAACGAAGGCCAGGGGAGCGAACGGG
rnacentral:rRNA from 1 species